rnacentral:rRNA from 1 species
UACGUAGGGUGCGAGCGUUGUCCGGAAUUAUUGGGCGUAAAGAGCUCGUAGGCGGUCUGUCGCGUCGAUCGUGAAAACUUGGGGCUUAACCCUGAGCUUGCGGUCGAUACGGGCAUGACUGGAGUUCGGCAGGGGAGACUGGAAUUCCUGGUGUAGCGGUGAAAUGCGCAGAUAUCAGGAGGAACACCGGUGGCGAAGGCGGCUACCUGGACAGAAACUGACGCUGAGGCGCGAAAGCUAGGGGAGCAAACAGG